GUGUGUCUUCAGAUGGCUCUUUUGUCCAAAUCUUUUACCACACUCAGAACAGUGAAAUCUAGAUGUUUUUCUUCUUGCUUGCCUCUCCUUUUGUUGCUCUGAGUUGUUCAUGUGACCAGAUGCCUUUCCAUAUUUAGAGUCUUUAAACUGUUUCUCAUCAGUGUUGGCUGAAUGAAAAAUAUUGGCAUUUUUUUGACAGUUAAAAUGUGACUGAAGUUCUCUGGUCUGUUUCCAGUCAUAACUGUCAUCAGUCUCAG